rnacentral:rRNA from 1 species
AGGACGAACGCUGGCGGCGUGCUUAACACAUGCAAGUCGAGCGGUAAGGCCUUUCGGGGUACACGAGCGGCGAACGGGUGAGUAACACGUGGGUGAUCUGCCCUGCACUCUGGGAUAAGCCUGGGAAACUGGGUCUAAUACCGGAUAUGACCUGCUCUCGCAUGGGGGUGGGUGGAAAGAUUUAUCGGUGCAGGAUGGGCCCGCGGCCUAACUCGAGUCGUUGGUUGGGUAGGGUAAGUCGGACCUACCGAAGGCCGACGGACGGGUACGCCCGACCGUGAGGAGGGUCGGACCCGGCCAACACGUGGGACUGAGACCGACCGGCCAGACCUACCGUACGGGAGCAGCAGGGUAGGGAAUUAGU